AAUAGAAAAUUACAAAAUUACUAGUUACGGCCAACCAAUUGUUGAAUUGUUGAAAGUUAUUUAAUUUUUAUAUAAUUAUCAAGUUUCUUAAAUCCCUUACAGCUUACUUCUAGUGAGUCCAUCAAUGAUGUUGAAGAAACAAACAGGAACAGAUGUAUUUAUAAUUCCCCAAAUUUAUGUGUGUGUGUGUGCUGGCAGGAUGUGUGGCCUGUAGAUCUGAAGAAUCAUUCCACAGCCAUGCAAUGCAUGGUGACAGUUCAAAAGCAGUAGGCAAAGCCCACCUGACUAUUGACCUUCGACCUGAUGGUGAAUACUAAAACUGAGGUUGAAACAAGCAAAGAAAGGCGAUAUGGAGGACAGAAAAAAUGUAGAAUUUGAUAUCUUCCCAAAUUCAUAUCUUGAGAAACAUUUUAAGAGUAUUUGAAAACAAUUGACACAGCAAAAGACACAAGCGUCAACUUCAGAAUGUUUUACACCAAAAGCAGAAAAAUUUUGUUGCAGCGAAAUCUAUAGCGAGUAGAAGCAGGGAUUUCAUAUGGACCAAUUAAAAGCCAGCAAGCCAAGCAGAGUACCCAGUUCACAUGUCAGGAUGAAUGAGUCUUAUCUCAAUAGCGCCCUCUAUGAUAGUGUCUGGAGUGCAGUUGAAACAUUGAAUAAAGCUCGCUAUUCAACAUCAAUGAUGAAAGACUACAACCAGCAUUGGAAGAGCUGCAGUCCUGUGAUGAUCCAAAUGGGCAACAGUUGGCUGGCUGUAAAUGUCAUUUAGUCUUAUAAGUGGACAGAUGAAAAAUUUGAAAAAGUCAACUACUGCCGCUAUAGUCAUUUGAAAGGGACACCUGAGUAGUCGUGAAUAAUAAACUGAACUCAUUCAGCUGAUGAAGUCUUGUUGACAACAAGACGAAAGCUAGCAAUUACUAUGAAGGAGAUGAGACAAUGUAUGCCACUAAAUCCACCCAGCAGCCCUCAGCAAGGCAGAAACCCUUGGGGGUCACACAUAGGCUUAGCCUAGUGAGCCUUGGACACACCCAAAGCUCGGUAUUCAACAUCAAUGAUGAAAGAUACGACCAGCAUUGGAAGAGCUGCAGUCCUGUGAUGAUCCAAAUGGGCAACAGUUGGCUGGCUGUAAGUGUCAUUUAGUCUUUAAGUAGACAGAUGAAAAAUUUGAAAAAGUCAAGUACUGCCGCUAUAGUCAUUUGAAAGGAAUUACUAUGAAGGAGAUGAGACAAUUAUGCCACUAAAUCCACCCAGCAGCCCUCAGCAAGGCAGAAACCCUUGGGGGUCUCACAUAGGCUUAGCCAGCGAGCCUUGGACACACCCGUGCAUAGUGGUUCCAGGAUUUCCAAGUUCAAACAUCUUAUUGAUUUCUACUCGUAUGUUAAUAUGAAAGAAAUGGUCUUCAAUGGAGAAUUUGGUUACUGGAAACCAAAAAGAACAAUUGGAGACAGGUUAUACUUCUAACGAAUCUGUCAAUGAUGUUGAAGAAACAAAAAGUUCUAAAGCAUAGGCAAGGCCCACCUGAG
rnacentral:misc_RNA from 1 species